rnacentral:rRNA from 1 species
GACGAACGCUGGCGGCGUGCCUAAUACAUGCAAGUCGAACGAGUGGCGGACGGGUGAGUAACACGUGGGAACCUACCCAUCAGAGGGGGAUAACACUUGGAAACGGGCGCUAAUACCGCAUACUAUCAGAUGAGCCUAGGUCGGAUUAGCUAGUUAGUGGGGUAAAGGCCUACCAAGGCGACGAUCCCUAGCUGGUCUGAGAGGAUGACCAGCGACACUGGAACUGAGACACGGUCCAUACUCCUACGGUAGGCAGCAGUGGGGAAUAUUGCACAAUGGGCGCAAGCCUGAUGCAGCCAUGUCGCGUGUGUGAAGAAGGCCUUCGGGUUGUAAAGCACUUUCAGCGGGGAGGCGUUACCCGCAGAAGAAGCACCGGCUAACUCCGUGCCAGCAGCCGCGGUAAUUC